GACGAACGCUGGCGGCGUGCCUAAUACAUGCAAGUAGAACGCUGAAGGAGGAGCUUGCUUCUCUGGAUGAGUUGCGAACGGGUGAGUAACGCGUAGGUAACCUGCCUGGUAGCGGGGGAUAACUAUUGGAAACGAUAGCUAAUACCGCAUAAUAGUAGAUGUUGCAUGACAUUUGCUUAAAAGGUGCAAUUGCAUCACUACCAGAUGGACCUGCGUUGUAUUAGCUAGUUGGUGAGGUAACGGCUCACCAAGGCGACGAUACAUAGCCGACCUGAGAGGGUGGUCGGCCACACUGGGACUGAGACACGGCCCAGACUCCUACGGGAGGCAGCAGUAGGGAAUCUUCGGCAAUGGACGGAAGUCUGACCGAGCAACGCCGCGUGAGUGAAGAAGGUUUUCGGAUCGUAAAGCUCUGUUGUAAGAGAAGAACGAGUGUGAGAGUGGAAAGUUCACACUGUGACGGUAUCUUACCAGAAAGGGACGGCUAACUACGUG
rnacentral:rRNA from 1 species